ensembl:lncRNA
ACCAGGAUUGGGAAGUAGGAUGCUGGGGUUGAUGAGAGGAUCUAUGAGUCUGAGUUGUAAGGAGAACACAGCAAACUCCUGUACUUGAAGCCAUCAAAAAGGUGACAGAUUCUCAACAUCAUGCAGUACCCCUCUGUAAGCACAGCCAGGGCAAGGCGUUGUUCUUCCUGACUCUGGAAAUACUCCAACUCAUAUUCAAUUUCCACAGAGCAGCUUUUCAUCAGAUUAUCUUUUUCAAUGUGUGCCACUGCUGACCUGAGAUAUUUUGGAAGAUAUUUGAAGUGAUACAAAGAGAUAAACCUCAAACCAGUACCACUGAGGUCAUUUGGGAAAGGUGCUCAGACCAGCGAGCUCUGAAAGCAAAGGAGACCUCCUUCACUUCUUGCAUUAAUCUGGUGUAAACCAUGUGAAGAAUCGCACACCAAUAAUUAGACCCAAGGAAAAAAUACUUCAGAUUUCUCAGCUGAUGCCCAGAUGCAUUUUGCACAGCAGCAGGGGUAGUGAUUGAUCCCUGUGGCCACUGCUAGCCUGGACAGGCCCCUGUCCCCAUUGGGAGCUCCGUGCCAGCAGCAGGCAGGGACAUGGCAGCACCAACACAGCUUCCUGAUGGGCAGCAAAGGGCUCAGAGCAGGCAGGGGCAAGUCCACGGGUCGAAGCUUGCAUUGGCAGCAAUUGCACCUGUCUGAAUGGCAUAAACAAGGGAUGUGCAGCCAUGUCCAGACUCCUAAAAAUAGCCUUUAUUAAUGUUGUGCACUCUUCUCAGUAGUCUGGGUGAAUCUUUCCAUACUGGUCCUAAAUUCGGUUUUCUUCCCAAAGUAAGCCUGGUAUAUGUCAAGGCCAGAGAUCACAUUGCAUACAUUUAAAAUGGUUGUCAGUAUUGAUUUGUUUACUUCUGAACAGCAGAGAAUUGUGAAAAGUUUGCUUUGAAUUCAUUCCUAUCUUACCUCUUUAAAUACCAGUAAAGGUGACAUUUCAAUGUGACCACACAAGUAAGUACAACUCAUUCUAUUUUGUUUUCUGCUUUACACACUUGAACAUCUCCAGCCUCAAACAUCGAGCCAAUAAUAUUUGGAAUAAGCACUUCCUCUGACUUCAGCAUCAAUAUGAGUGUUACUAGAAGGCAUGCCCUUCACAGACCAUUUCAACGUGAUACUGAAAGGCUUUCAUUCUGGUUUCAUUAAAUCUCAACUAAGUUGCCUAAUAAACUGUAAUAUUGGGAACUGCUUGGCACCACCUCUGUUACCAAAGCUUAACAAAGAAGCAGUGGUGAGGGUGAGACGUCAGCCCUGGGCCAGGGGUCUGCAGGACAACCUCUUCUCUGCCGAUGUGUGUCUCCAGGCUCCUGGGGCAGUGUGGUGACCCAGGGCUCUGCAGCUGCCUCACUGCUUGUGAAACUGCCCUGGGGGAAGUCUGUGCUGGUCCUUCCAGUAUAAAGGAGGUGUUAUGAUCAUUGGUAGUGCAACAGCAUCAGUGCCUCCAGAACGGUCUUUGGAGCUCCCUGUGAGAGAGGUGCACGUGCACAACAAUAGAUGCAUGUAUGGCAUGGAUGGAUAGACAGAGGGUUAGUGUUCCUCCACAGGUUAUUUAUUUUUACCUAGGAAGAAAUCCUUUAUGAUUUACUGGUUUUCUUUAGGCUACAUUAUUUUAUAGACCACCCCACCCCCCCUCCCU